rnacentral:rRNA from 1 species
UACGUAGGGUGCAAGCGUUGUCCGGAAUUAUUGGGCGUAAAGAGCUCGUAGGCGGUUCGUCGCGUCGGCUGUGAAAUCCCGAGGCUCAACCUCGGGUCUGCAGUCGAUACGGGCGGACUGGAGUUCGGCAGGGGAGACUGGAAUUCCUGGUGUAGCGGUGAAAUGCGCAGAUAUCAGGAGGAACACCGGUGGCGAAGGCGGGUCUCUGGGCCGAUACUGACGCUGAGGAGCGAAAGCGUGGGGAGCGACCAGG